GUCAAGAAGGAAGGCUUAACCCCCACC
rnacentral:piRNA from 1 species